GACAGAGGGUGCAAACGUUGUUCGGAAUUACUGGGCGUAAAGCGCGUGUAGGCGGCUCGGAAAGUCGGGUGUGAAAGCCCUGGGCUCAACCCAGGAAGUGCACUCGAAACUCCCGAGCUCGAGUCCCGGAGAGGAAAGUGGAAUUCUCGGUGUAGAGGUGAAAUUCGUAGAUAUCGAGAGGAACAUCUGUGAGCGAAGGUCGGCUUCUGGACGGUGACUGACGCUGAGACGCGAAAGCGUGGGGAGCAAACAGG
rnacentral:rRNA from 1 species